AACGAACGCUGGCGGCGUGCCUAACACAUGCAAGUCGAACGAGAAAGGGGCUUCGGCUCCGAGUAAAGUGGCGCACGGGUGAGUAACACGUAGGUAACCUGCCUCUAAGAUUGGGAUAACUUGUCGAAAGAUGAGCUAAUACCAAAUAAGACCACGGUUCCCUCGGGGACAGAGGUCAAAGGUAGCCUCUAUUUAUAAGCUAUCGCUGAGAGAUGGGCCUGCGUACCAUUAGCUAGNGGUG
rnacentral:rRNA from 1 species